GUGCUCAUUCAGCAGCACAUAUACUAAAAAUGGAAUGAUACAGAGAAGAUUAAUUAACAUGGCUCCUGCAAAAGAUGAUAUGCAAAAUUUAACAAGAAAAAAUAAAUACU
rnacentral:snRNA from 1 species